CAGUGAAGCAACAGCGGUGACAAGAAAUGGUGAGUGGCAGCAAGUGGGCGGGCAGGCAUGAGCACAGGGCCCACACUGGUGCCACAGGGCCAGAGCCAGCAGGGGCCUAGAGCCGGGCAGCAGGAGCAUGGGGCCCAGACUGGCACAUGGUGCCAGAGCAGCCGGCAGGCAGCCGGAUGGGAAGAAGCAGCAGCAGCAAGAAGCAGUGCAUUUGUGACUGCUGCUGUUCUAUGUCUGGUCUCAGUGCAAGUGAUGGGAAGGAAGUGAAAGGAGAAAGGAUAUGACUAAGGACUUGGCUUAAAAGGCCUUUUGUUCUCAUUACAUUUUGUUUUUAAAAUAAAAAUGAUCUUCACGCGGCUUA